rnacentral:rRNA from 1 species
GACGAACGCUGGCGGCGUGCCUAACACAUGCAAGUCGAGCGAAGUUAAAGCUUCGGUUUUAACUUAGCGGCGGACGGGUGAGUAACACGUGGGUAACCUGCCUUAUAGUGGGGGAUAGCCUUUCGAAAGGAAGAUUAAUACCGCAUAAGAAGUAGCUAUCGCAUGAUAGUAGCUUUAAAGGAGCUGUCUUCGAGAGAAGACGCAUUUGCUAUAAGAUGGACCCGCGGCGCAUUAGCUAGUUGGUGAGGUAACGGCUCACCAAGGCGACGAUGCGUAGCCGACCUUAGAGGGUGAUCGGCCACAUUGGAACUGAGAAACGGUCCAGACUCCUACGGGAGGCAGCAGUGGGGAAUAUUGCACAAUGGGCGAAAGCCUGAUGCAGCAACGCCGCGUGAGUGAUGAAGUUCUUCGGAAUGUAAAGCUCUGUCUUUUGGGACGAUAAUGACGGUACCAAAGGAGGAAGCCACGGCUAACUACGUG